AUCGCUUCUCGGCCUUUUGGCUAAGAUCAAGUGUAGAAGUCGAUCUUUAAGACCCUGCCAGCACUGCUGUCAGAUCUGUGUUCAGUUUACAAAUUAAAGGAGAGAUGGAAAAAUAUGAGUCAACAUUCUCAGCUUACAAGUGAGGGGGUUUGCUGUCCUUGUAUUGAUAUUUCAUACUUUUUUUUAACCAUGGAACUUUC